rnacentral:rRNA from 1 species
CCUACGGGAGGCAGCAGUGAGGAAUAUUGGUCAAUGGUCGCGAGUCUGAACCAGCCAAGUAGCGUGAAGGAUGACUGCCCUAUGGGUUGUAAACUUCUUUUAUACGGGAAUAAAACAGGGUAUGCAUACUUUCUUGUAUGUACCUUAUGAAUAAGGACCGGCUAACUCCGUGCCAGCAUCCGCGGUAAUACGGAGGAUCCGAGCGUUAUCCGGAUUUGUUGGGGUUAAAGGGAGCGUAGGUGGAUUGUUAAGUCAGUUGUGAAAGUUUGCGGCUCAACCGUGAAAUUGCAGUUGAAACUGGCAUUCUUGAGUACAGGAGAGGUAGGCGGAAUUCGUGGUGUAGCGGUGAAAUGCUUAGAUAUCACGAAGAACUCCGAUUGCGAAGGCAGCUCACUGGACUGCAACUGACGCUGAUGCUCGAAAGUGUGGGUAUCAAACAGGAUUAGAUACCCGUGUAGUC